AUUGAACGCUGGCGGCGUGCCUAACACAUGCAAGUCGAGCGGCAGCGGGCCCGCAAGGGUGCCGGCGAGCGGCGGACGGGUGAGCAAUACAUAGGAAUCUACCUUAGAGCGGGGGAUAGCCCGGGGAACCCGGAUUAAUACCGCAUGAUGUCGAAAGACCAAAGUGGGGGCCGUAAGGCCUCACACUCUGAGAUGAGCCUAUGUCGGAUUAGCUAGUUGGCGGGGAACGGCCCACCAAGGCGACGAUCCGUAGCUGGUCUGAGAGGACGAUCAGCCACACCGGAACUGAGACACGGUCCGGACUCCUACGGGAGGCAGCAGUGGGGAAUAUUGGACAAUGGGCGAAAGCCUGAUCCAGCGACGCCGCGUGGGUGAAGAAGGCCUCGGUUGUAAG
rnacentral:rRNA from 1 species